UACGGAGGGUGCGAGCGUUGUUCGGAAUUACUGGGCGUAAAGCGCGCGUAGGCGGCUUUGUAAGUUAGAGGUGAAAGCCCGGGGCUCAACCCCGGAACUGCCUUUAAGACUGCAUCGCUUGAAUCCGGGAGAGGUGAGUGGAAUUCCGAGUGUAGAGGUGAAAUUCGUAGAUAUUCGGAAGAACACCAGUGGCGAAGGCGGCUCACUGGACCGGUAUUGACGCUGAUGUGCGAAAGCGUGGGGAGCAAACAGG
rnacentral:rRNA from 1 species